UACACUCCUACGGGAGGCAGCAGUGGGGAAUAUUGCACAAUGGGCGCAAGCCUGAUGCAGCCAUGCCGCGUGUAUGAAGAAGGCCUUCGGGUUGUAAAGUACUUUCAGCGGGGAGGAAGGCAAUACGGUUAAUAACCGUGUUGAUUGACGUUACCCGCAGAAGAAGCACCGGCUAACUCCGUGCCAGCAGCCGCGGUAAUACGGAGGGUGCAAGCGUUAAUCGGAAUUACUGGGCGUAAAGCGCACGCAGGCGGUCUGUCAAGUCGGAUGUGAAAUCCCCGGGCUCAACCUGGGAACUGCAUUCGAAACUGGCAGGCUUGAGUCUUGUAGAGGGGGGUAGAAUUCCAGGUGUAGCGGUGAAAUGCGUAGAGAUCUGGAGGAAUACCGGUGGCGAAGGCGGCCCCCUGGACAAAGACUGACGCUCAGGUGCGAAAGCGUGGGGAGCAAACAGGAUUAGAUACCCCAGUAGUCC
rnacentral:rRNA from 1 species